rnacentral:rRNA from 1 species
UACAGAGGUGGCAAGCGUUGUUCGGAAUUACUGGGCGUAAAGAGCGCGCAGGCGGCCAAGUCAGUCGAAUGUGAAAGCCCCCGGCUUAACUGGGGAGGGUCAUUCGAUACUGCUCGGCUCGAAGACAGGAGAGGGAAGUGGAAUUCCCGGUGUAGUGGUGAAAUGCGUAGAUAUCGGGAGGAACACCAGUGGCGAAGGCGACUUUCUGGCCUGUUCUUGACGCUGAGGCGCGAAAGCUAGGGGAGCAAACGGG